rnacentral:rRNA from 1 species
ACUCCUACGGGAGGCAGCAGUGGGGAAUAUUGGACAAUGGACCAAAAGUCUGAUCCAGCAAUUCUGUGUGUUUGAUGAAGGCCUUCGGGUUGUAAAGAACUUUCAGUGGGGAAGAAGCAAGUGACGGUACCCACAGAAGAAGCGACGGCUAAAUACGUGCCAGCAGCCGCGGUAAUACGUAUGUCGCAAGCGUUAUCCGGAAUUAUUGGGCAUAAAGGGCGUCUAGGCGGUCUAAUAAGUCUGAUGUGAAAAUGCGGGGCUCAACUCCGUAUUGCGUUGGAAACUGUUAGACUAGAGUUUUGGAGAGGUAGGCGGAACUACAAGUGUAGAGGUGAAAUUCGUAGAGAUUUGUAGGAAUGCCGAUGACGAAGGUAGCUUACUGGACAAAUACUGACGCUGAAGCGCGAAAGCUAGGGAGCAAACAGGAUUAGAUACCCUGGUAGCGACUGA